GCGGCGGCGCUGGCCGCGGCGUCGUACGCCUGUAACUGGGUGCUUUCUCUUAUCACGACCAAUUUUAUUAGGACACACAGGAGACUGUAAAUGGUACAUACUGUAGUAGCAAUGUAGUAGAACGGUAGAUGUUUCUUUGUUUUGCUCUUGUAUAUUUGUAUCCUUACAUGAGUAAAGACGUUCAGUUAUUGAUAGUAUAGUUUUGUUAUGAGUGAUGCUUGCUUGCCUUGAAUGCCACAAUGCAAUUUGUA
rnacentral:lncRNA from 1 species